rnacentral:rRNA from 1 species
GGGGCAACUCCCUGAGUACAGCGGCGCACGGGUGAGUAACACGUGGGUAAUCUGCCCUGGAGUGGGGAAUAACACCGGGAAACCGGUGCUAAUACCGCAUACGAUCACGAUGUCUGCGGACAUUGUGAUGAAAGGAGCAAUUCGCUCCAGGAGGAGCCCGCGGCUGAUUAGCUAGUUGGUGAGGUAAUGGCUCACCAAGGCUACGAUCAGUAUCCGGUCUGAGAGGACGGUCGGACACACUGGAACUGAGACGCGGUCCAGACUCCUACGGGAGGCAGCAGUGGGGAAUUUUUGGCAAUGGGGGAAACCCUGACCAAGCAACGCCGCGUGGGUGAUGAAGUCUCUUGGGAC